rnacentral:rRNA from 1 species
CACGUAGGCGGCUUUCUAAGUCGGGGGUGAAAUCCUGGAGCUCAACUCCAGAACUGCCUUCGAUACUGGAAAGCUCGAGUCCGGGAGAGGUGAGUGAAACUGCGAGUGUAGAGGUGAAAUUCGUAGAUAUUCGCAAGAACACCAGUGGCGAAGGCGGCUCACUGGCCCGGUACUGACGCUGAGGUGCGAAAGCGUGGGGAGCAAACA